AGAAAGCGUCAGCGCCGAUAGUGAAGCAGCAUCUGGUGGGAUUCUCUCUGCUCUCCUGUUGGAAGCAGCAAGGCAAGGCGCUUGCAUCUUGAAAUGGGUGAUUUUUAAAUCUUUUCUUCGUUUGAUUAUUUGAGAACCCCUGUUUGUUCCUUGACCCUACAUGAAGAAGAUGAGAGAGAAAGAGCUGGACAUAGCAUUCACCCCAGUGAUGAAGAAUGGGAAUGUUGGGGCCUGCUGUUUGUUGCUUUUCUUUUUGCUGAUGUGUGGCUCUUCGUUGCCCAAAAGGUCUGCAGAGAGGGAGUUAAAUGCAUGUGUUUUUCUUGCACAGCAGCAAGGCUAAAAUGUGGAAGUAAGCUAAGUAAACCUUUAUAAUUA
rnacentral:lncRNA from 1 species